CCUACGGGGUGCAGCAGUGGGGAAUAUUGGACAAUGGGCGAAAGCCUGAUCCAGCCAUGCCGCGUGUGUGAAGAAGGCCUUCGGGUUGUAAAGCACUUUCAGUGGGGAAGAAAGCCUUGGGGCUAAUACCCUCGAGGAAGGACAUCACCCACAGAAGAAGCACCGGCUAACUCCGUGCCAGCAGCCGCGGUAAUACGGAGGGUGCGAGCGUUAAUCGGAAUUACUGGGCGUAAAGCGCGCGUAGGCGGUCUGAUAAGCCGGUUGUGAAAGCCCCGGGCUCAACCUGGGAACGGCAUCCGGAACUGUCAGGCUAGAGUGCAGGAGAGGAAGGUAGAAUUCCCGGUGUAGCGGUGAAAUGCGUAGAGAUCGGGAGGAAUACCAGUGGCGAAGGCGGCCGUCUGGACUGACACUGACGCUGAGGUGCGAAAGCGUGGGUAGCAAACAGGAUUAGAUACCCGGGUAGUC
rnacentral:rRNA from 1 species